CUGCAGUAAGUUAUGAAUCAGCGCAGCCGUCUUCCAGACUUAUCUUGGCUGCUACCUCGUGAUACGCAUGUCAGCACAUGUCAUUUGCAGCCACCAGACAAAGAGAGAGCAAGACAAGGUGUACCCUGCCGGCUCUCUCCUUGUGUGUCGGUCACCUUUUGAUAACUACUCAACGCUGCACAGCACAGGAUUCAGCAUUCAAUCACUCUCAUAAUUUUAUUGUCAUUUCAUCUUUUAUGGGGGAUGCCCCACUCUUAAUUUUUAUCACUGAAUGGCUGCUGACGUACGUAUAUAUAAGAGCACUACAAGAUACGACAGGAAGGCCUUCCAGGCCGCAACAUAGAAUGCUGGCGUUCUGAUCGAGGAGGAGAUGAUCUGUUAUUGGCUAUUGGCUCUGAGUAGGCGGGGGAUGGACUGGAGUCACUGGACCCACCUCUGAGAGACAAAGGGCCAGUUACUGUAUCAUGUAUGAAUAUUCUGUUGCUUGUACAUUAUUUUCGUAACAUUAUCAGUAAUUGACUGUAGAGUAGCAUCUUGAGCUCCCCUUUCUUCAUCACUCAAUCUGCAGGCAGUGUAUGUGAUUUUCUGACAGGGAGGCUACUCUAAACAGAGGAAGUCGGCCACACAAGGUAUAGUCUAAUAAUUAUUGUACAGUACUAGAUGAUCUUCUCUGUUUUGGGUCAGAUGCAAUUGCCUUGAAUCACUAGCCAGUUAAAACAUUUCUUCUACUCUUGGCUUAAGAAAUUGUAUUUUAUUAUUGUACCAGCAUUAGGUAGUUAACUCCACUUAUGCAUUGACCUCUACUACUGUGUAGCGGGAAAGUUCGUUAUUUGAGCCCUCGAGAAAUAUUGUAUAGUUGUUCACAUUGCAAUGCCAGGAAACAUAGCUUUGCAUGGUGCGUGGGAGUGUCUUCCAUUUAUAUUACAUGAAGUGUGAAGUGUGUUGUAAGUUUGUACAGAGAGGACUCCCAUGGUGGCAAUGAUCUGAUGAUGGCUCCACUGCUCUGAUGGACCAAUGCAGGAGAAGUUAUUCUGUAUAAUUAUUACACUAAAUUAAUGUAUGCCACUGUUUGGAUCGGUUUCUGUUCUGCUCAGCUUCUUCCUCCAACUUGCUUACACAGGCUAAGCUUAUUCUUAAUUAGUUCAUUCUUAGUUCAUUCUAUAGUCUAGUAUUAUUGUCGGUUUGAUUGUUUUAUGUUUUUCACCUGGUCAUAUGGAAUCACUUCAUUAAUUUUUAUACAGUGCAGACCACGCCUCUAUCCACACAUUGUACCUGCACAUCCUGUAUAUAUGGGGCCACACCCCCACUCACUGUACUGAUAUAUGGUCACACCCCCAUACAUGGUAACCCUCUUGACCACACCUCCACUGAUGCAUUGUGUCGUACAUGCUGUGUUUUUGUGUACAGUACAUGCAUCAUCCGUGUCUUUAUCCCCACACCUAGUCGGAGGGAGCAGCAAGUUCUACUAAGAGCCAGCAUCACCAACUAACCAACACACUACAAGACCUACCUACUACCAGCUAGGACAGCACACCACCUGGGACAGUAUAUACCAUGUAAUACACCUUUGUAUUACGAUCAUGAUACAAUUUGCUGCCCUCCCUCGCCAAUGGAUUGAAUAAUUAUGGUCACUCGCAGGACAACUAAGAGACUGACACACAAUAAUAGACACCUAACUGUAUUUUUCCAUUAUUAUAAUAAAAUUAAUCGUUAAUAAUGUAUUAAUUUUUUGCCAUUAAUUUUAUAUCAUUAA